GGCAGAGAGGCCUCCGUUGGACACCAGAGAGAGGCCGCUGGGUGAAAGAAUGAUGCCAGCAAGACCUCUUUAUCCGCCUUUUCAUGGGGGCAGAAGGGAAGCAGCGGCUAUGGAACCAGAUCAGGGUCCAGUGUGCUUUGAAGAUGUCGCUGUUCGUUUCACGGACGAGG